CACAACUUCAGCAACCAUCAUAGAUGCCGAACUGUUUUCCAGGUCUGGCAAAUCGGUCGUGGGCAGGAGGUCAUGCUGGUCACAGGCUUGGGUUGUGGAGUCAAGACAGACCUGAAUUCAAAUCCCACCUCUGCUAUGUACUAGCUGUGUGAUCUGGACAAGCGACUUAUCCUCUCUGGGCCUCUGUUCCUUCAGCCAGGCAGCCAGGUGGCACAGCACAGGGAGACAGUCUCUCACAUUAUCAUACCAGAGGGUGACAAUUUUAACAGGCUACGGAGUGAACACUAACCCUGGAGCCCAGAAAGGAGCAGCACUGGCAAUACUACCUCCCUGGAUUAUUCUUGCCAGCAGUCACUAUGGCAAGAACAAGCACUCAGCAAUCAACCCAAUAAUCCCCCCAUUUCACAGAAGAGGACACCGAGGUUCAGAGAGGUAUUUGUCUCCCCCUCUAGCAUGUGAGCUUCAAUGAAGGCAGAGACCUUGUCUCCUAUCUUCCUUGAUACAGUACAGCCCCUGCCCUCCGCACAGUGACUGACACACACCAACAGAAUGUGGGCAGAAGUGAUGUGCUAGUUCUGAGCCAAGCUGUAAGGAAACCUUCCAUGUAUCUGCUCACCUCCUUGUGCUUCAGCUAUUCACCAUGAAAGGAACAUACCUGAGCUGUUGCGGAGCCAAAGAGGGUGAAAGACACAUAGAAGAAGCAUGUGGAAUAUGCUGGAACUCAUCAGCAACCAGAGGCCAAGCCCCAGAUGAUUCCAGCAGAGCUACAGUUCACUCUAGACUAAUAAACAAGAAAAUAGAUGUUUGUGGUUGGCUUUUAACAACUAAAUUGAAACAUGAUUCACAUACCAUAAAAUUCACCCAUUCAAAUAAUACUAUCCAAUUUUUUUUGGCAGAUUCAUGCAGCCAUCACUAUAAUCAAUUUUAGAACAUUUUCAUCACCCCAAAAGAAAAUUGCAUAUUCAAUACAUUAGCAGUCUUUUCCCAUUUCCCUGUUCACUGUUAUACAGC
ensembl:lncRNA